UUAAUGAUAUAAAUGUGAUAUUAUUAAUGUUUUCUUCCCAAGAAAAGAUUGAUGUUAUUAGAAGGUUAGGGUACGCCGCAGGUCCGUAGAGCGGUUGAUGCAUCUUUAAGAUUGAAGCGAAAUCAGUAACUUGCAAUCAGAGGAAACCCUAAAAGAUGUCGGGGGGUUUUUUUAGGGGCACUUCUGCUGAGCAGGACACUCGAUUCUCUAAUAAGCAAGCUAAGUUGUUAAAAUCUCAGAAGUUCGCUCCUGAAUUGGAACAUCUGGUCGAUAUGACAAAGGUCAAGAUGGAUGUAAUUAAACCAUGGAUUGCUAAGCGAGUUACUGAGCUUAUUGGUUUCGAAGAUGAAGUGCUUAUCAAUUUUAUUUAUAGCCUUCUUGAACGAAAGGUAGCUAAUGGCAAGGAGCUUCAAAUUUCACUUACUGGUUUCAUGGAAAGAAACACUGCAAAAUUCAUUAAAGAGCUUUGGGCAUUACUACUUAGUGCACAGAACAAUGCCAGUGGUGUUCCUCAACAGUUCCUAGAAGCCAAAGAAGAGGAAAUGAGAAACAAUAAGGCUGAGAUGGAUCGAAUUGCAAACGAGAUUCAGAAGAAAAAGGAGAGAGACAACAGGGAGCUGGAUCAAGAGAAAAGGAAGAAGAUGGAUGAUUAUGGCAGCGAUUUGAGACAGAAAAAUACUUCACGGGAACCAACUCCAAAACAACAGCUUCAGGUUCGCUUGAUGGAUAAUUUAGAUCCUGUUGAGAGAAACGGAUCAAGAGUAAGAAACAGGGUCUCUAAAUCCCCACAGUCAGCAGAUCAUUCACUCUCCCCCAGGAAAUCAAGGCCAAUCAGCAAGUCAUUCUCCAAUUCGAGGAGUUACUCUGGUGAAAGGCACAGGUCACGAAGUACAUCCGGAUCUCCAGAAGAAAGGAGACGUCGCUCCCUUUCAUCUGAAAGGGCAUAUCGCUCUGCACCAAAGUGUUCUGUUUCACCUCGUAGGAAACAUUCACCUCGACAAUCCCAUUCUCCACCAAGGCAUAGGCGAAGAUCAACCUCUCGAGUACGUCGAAGGUCACCUUCUCCUGCAAGAUACCGAAGACAUUCUCCAUUCCAACGUAGAUCAAGGUCUCCGCUUCGACGCAGAUCAAGGUCUCCGCUUCGACGCAGAUCAAGGUCCCCGCUUCGACGCAGAUCAAGGUCUCCGCUUCGACGCAGAUCAAGGUCCCCGCUUCGACGUAGAUCAAGGUCUCCACAUCGACAUAGGUCGAGGUCUCCCAUUUGGCGUAGAUCACGAUCCCCUAUAUGGUGUAGGUCAAGGUCUCCGAGUAGACGCUCACCAGUGCGAUACAGAUCAAGGUCACCUAUUAAAUGUCAAUCACCACUUCGACGCAGAACACCAUCUCCAACGCAACGUAGGUCCCCUUCUCCAGUGAGUCGGGAGUACCACCGAUCUCCAUUGAGUCCUCGGCAAAGUUCUCCAUUCCUAGCUCAACGAAAAACCUCCAUUUCUGGUAGGAAGAGAUCCUUAACUCCUGCCAGAAGGUCUCUUUCAUCUCAAGAAUCACUUUCCCCAUCACCCAUUUACCGCAGGUCUCCUUCACCAAUCAGAAAGAGAAUAUCGAAGAAUGAAAGGUCACCAGUUCAAUCUCCUCGAGGAAGGAUAAGGAGCCGUGAGAAAUACUCCUCUAUUCGAUAUGCUUCACCAGUAAAAACUGAGGCCCAUAAAGGAUCCAGAUCCUUGGAACAUAGACGUUCUUCUUCUGGGUCACCGCAGAAAAGGAUAUAUGGCCGUAAGGAUUCACGAGAAAAAGAUCUGCCUUUGCCGCCUCAACUAAGCCGGUCACCAUCUGUUCCAGAAUCUCCACAUCGCUCUAGAUCUGACUCAGAAUCUCCACCAACCAAAAGGGGAAGGAGUCCUUGUGAAGAUAGAGGGCCAAGGAGUACUUCGAACCCGAGGGAGAUAAAGACAAUUGACUUCGACAGCCUUAGUCCAAGUAAAUUGAGAGAGCAGAAAGUUAGUUCUGACAUUUCUGAGAAAAUCGCAGAUCAGAAAGAAAUGAACCAUUCAAGGGAGGCUUUUGAGCAUAAACCUAGGUCUUCAAGAAAAAUUCCCACAACACCCGAUCCAUAUAAAGAUCUUGGGAAGAGGUUUGUCCAGAAAGAAUUUUCUGACAUUCAUAGCCAUUCAGAUCGAUUGGAGUCGAGAAAGCGAAAUGAAGCGAUUAAGAGUGAAAAAUUUUCAGGAACUAUGCAGCACACAAAGGAACUGGAUAAACAAAAGUCACCAUCAACUCAUAGACACUCUCAUUCAGUUAAAAGGUUAAAGGAAUCAUAUGAUGGGGAGAGUGUCAAAGCAGAUAAGGAAAACCUAUCUCACACAAACGAUACCAAGGGCAAAGAGCUAUAUGUUGAUUCCGAAGCUCCCCUCACUUCAUCAAAGAAAGUUGAGCAGAAUGAUUUAAGUAGUAAAGAGGGUUCUGGUUUCGAGGAAAGUGAAAAGCGUAGAGCUAAAAUUAAGGAUAAAAGAAAGCAUAAGAGGUCUGACAGAUAUGAGUCAACGUCAGAUGAUAGUUUUGAUUCUGAUGUUGAGGAUAGGAAGGAGGCUAAAAAGAGAAGGAAAGAGGAGAGAAGAUUGAAGAAAGAGGAGAAGCGUCGUCGGCGGGAGGAGAGGCGGCGCAGAAAGGAAGAAAGACGUUCUCAGAAACGAAAAUCGAAGUCAGUUAAUGCCAUAUCCUCGCCUUCAGAUACAGAGAGGAAUCCUAAUAAUCGUGCUUCAGAUGAUGAACAUCUGAGAAAAGAGUAUCAACAUGGACGUAAGAUUGAGGAGUCAGAGUCCUUGCAGAAAAGACUUGAAAUUGAGCUGCGGGAGAAGGCUCUCGAGUCUCUUAGAGCAAAAAAGGGUGUCAGUCAUUAAGAUUGUUGCUUCCUUUGGACAUUAUUAAGCUGUUAUUCUCGUCCUAGUAGUCCUUCUCUUUCAGUUAGCUUUAUCAAUCUUGAACUGAAUAUUUACCGUGGAUGUGUUGUUUAUGCUGCAUAUUUAAUGUAGUCUAUCUUUACCUCUGGCAGCUGAAUUGCAUAAAAGAGGGUUUCCUGAGCUAGUGUGUUGACUUCAACUUUAUGCUGACCUACCUGCUAAACCUUCUGAUCAUUAGAUUUCACUAGAUGACCUCGUUGAGCAGACUUGGCACCUCCAUACAUGGAUCUCCAAUGCAGCUUGAUUUCCUCUCCAGAAUGUGUUUUACUUUUCAUGGUGAUCCGAGUUCCUGUUCAUUUUUGGAAGUGUUUGUAUCAGCAGUUAAGACAACUGGUUCAUUGUAUUGUACAUGAAAUCCAUAUAGAACUGUAGAAGUGAACCCACUCCAUCCCCCUUCGGCCCGCUUAUAACCUCGUAGAGAUUAUCUUCAUUCUUUUUUGAUUGUUCACAAAGGUAUAGUUUGAUAUGUUAUGCCAAUCUUUUAAUGCUGUC